rnacentral:rRNA from 1 species
GGACGAACGCUGGCGGCGUGCCUAACACAUGCAAGUCGAACGAGAAUCUAAUGACGGAGUUUCGGACAACUGAAUUAGAGGAAAGUGGCGGACUGGUGAGUAACGCGUGAGCAACCUGCCUUUCAGAGGGGGACAACAGUUGGAAACGACUGCUAAUACCGCAUAACAUAUAGUUAAGGCAUCUUAAUUAUAUCAAAGGAGCAAUCCGCUGAAAGAUGGGCUCGCGUCUGACUAGAUAGUUGGCGGGGCAACGGCCCACCAAGUCGACGAUCAGUAGCCGGACUGAGAGGUUGAACGGCCACAUUGGGACUGAGAUACGGCCCAGACUCCUACGGGAGGCAGCAGUGGGGAAUAUUGGGCAAUGGACGCAAAGUCUGACCCAGCAACGCCGCGUGAAGGAAGAAGGCUUUCGGGUUGUAAACUUCUUUAAGAGGGACGAAGGACGUGACGGUACCUCUUGAAUAAGCCACGGCUAACUACGUGCCAGCAGCAGC